CGCCCGUCGCUCCUACCGAUUGGGUGUGCUGGUGAAGUGUUCGGAUUGGCGUCAAUUGGCGGUUCGCCGCUGGCUGUCGCUGAGAAGUUCAUUAAACCCUCCCACCUAGAGGAAGGAGAAGUCGUAACAAGGUUUCC
rnacentral:rRNA from 1 species